rnacentral:rRNA from 1 species
GAUUCUGGCUCAGGAUGAACGCUAGCGACAGGCUUAACACAUGCAAGUCGAGGGGCAUCACGGGAGUAGCAAUACAACUGGUGGCGACCGGCGCACGGGUGAGUAACGCGUAUGCAACCUACCUAUCAGAGGGGAAUAACCCGGCGAAAGUCGGACUAAUACCGCAUAAAACAGGGGCACCGCAUGGUGAUAUUUGUUAAAGAAAUUCGCUGAUAGAUGGGCAUGCGUUCCAUUAGGUAGUUGGUGAGGUAACGGCUCACCAAGCCGACGAUGGAUAGGGGAACUGAGAGGUUGGUCCCCCACACUGGUACUGAGACACGGACCAGACUCCUACGGGAGGCAGCAGUGAGGAAUAUUGGUCAAUGGGCGGGAGCCUGAACCAGCCAAGUCGCGUGAAGGAAAGAAGGAUCUAUGGUUCGUAAACUUCUUUUGCAGGGGAAUAAAGUGCAGGACGUGUCCUGUUUUGUAUGUACCCUGAGAAUAAGGAUCGGCUAACUCCGUGCCAGCAGCAGC